AGAUAAAUAAUUUCCGAAGCUUCUUGCAGGUUGUUAUAGCCAUUAAGCAGUGUGUAAGUGCAAGGUUUCGAAUGAAAGCUGAGCAUCUAUUAUUCAGAACUUGUGCUUUAUGAUACUAAUAUUUUUUUAUAUCGAAAUCUAAAAUCAAUCAUCAAAAUUUCAAAACAUUGAUUUAAUGUGGGAUUUCGAGGGAUGAUAUGAUCAAAUUAUAUUUAUAAGUGAUUACAAAUGAAUUGAUGAUUUCUUCAUCACUUCCUUUCAUGGUCUUCCUACUGAAUGAUGCCAUUGUCUCCUUUUCUUCUUCGUGAACGCAACAUAUGUAUACAUACAUGUACAUAUGUACGUAAUGGAGAGACAAGUGUACGUAUGGAAAAGGGGCAAAGGCAAAAAUUAGUAACUAUAUAUAUAUAUAUAUAUAGUAUUAUCUUUUUUUUGUGACUAGAAUUUAUCGAUUCAAAAUGUAGCAUCCUUGUUCAAUUUUUUUUUCCCACAUUAUAUAGUUGAAUAAUAAUGUAAUGGAAUUAUGUUCUAAAAUUAUUUAUUUAUUUUUUGGUUGUUUCUUUUUUUAUUUUAUUAAGUUUGUGAAUUGACUCAUUUUAUGUAUUUUUUUAUAUAUUUUUAUUAAGAAAUUGUAUUAUAAUUAUUAUAUAUGCGUCACAUUAAUAUAUCCUUCUUCCACAAUUAUAGCAAUUUCAUCGAUCACGUACUGCUUAAAAUUUCAUCUAUUUUUGUUGAUGUAUAACACUUCCUCUUUAUCCUUUAAUGAAACUUCUCCCAUUUGCUUAGCCAAGGCUUCUUUGACCAACAAACAAUUCUCAAAACUUAAUAAAUGAUGGUUAAUUUUGUCAUUCCUGUGCUAUAGCGACAAAGCCGAUAUAUUUGGGUAUCAAAUCAUAGAUAAUUAUUCUCUUUAUCAUAAUUUUUCUAAUUAGAGAUUGUGGAUUCAAUUCUAAAAUUUUGUAAUAUAACAAUUUCACUUGUGG
rnacentral:lncRNA from 1 species